rnacentral:lncRNA from 1 species
AAGGCAUUCAAAUCAAGCCAAAAUCAAUACUUAAACAUGUAAUACUAUCACAUACCAACAAUAUGCCCUUAGGCUCUUUAAAUAACAGCAUAACUCAUAUCAAUCAAACAACCAAUUUCACCUACAUUACCAAAUACAUAUAUGCAUAAUUUACCAAAUAUACCUAUUCAACCCAACCAUCAAUAUACCUAUAAGAUUUC